UACGGGGGGGGGCAAGCGUUGUUCGGAAUUACUGGGCGUAAAGGGCUCGUAGGCGGCCAACUAAGUCGGACGUGAAAUCCCUCGGCUUAACCGGGGAACUGCGUCCGAUACUGGAUGGCUUGAGUGUGGGAGAGGGAUGCGGAAUUCCAGGUGUAGCGGUGAAAUGCGUAGAUAUCUGGAGGAACACCGGUGGCGAAGGCGGCAUCCUGGACCACGACUGACGCUGAGUGAGCGAAAGCCAGGGGAGCAAACGGGG
rnacentral:rRNA from 1 species